rnacentral:tRNA from 1 species
GCGCGUAGCUCAGUUGGAAGAGCAUUGGGCUAGUAUUCCAAAGGUCGUAGGUUCGAAUCCCACCGUGACCG